GACGAACGCUGGCGGCGUGCUUAACACAUGCAAGUCGAACGGAAAGGCCCUGCUUGCAGGGUACUCGAGUGGCGAACGGGUGAGUAACACGUGGGUGAUCUGCCCUGCACUUCGGGAUAAGCCUGGGAAACUGGGUCUAAUACCGGAUAGGAGCCAUUUUUAGUGUGAUGGUUGGAAAGUUUUUUCGGUGUAGGAUGAGCUCGCGGCCUAUCAGCUUGUUGGUGGGGUAAUGGCCUACCAAGGCGGCGACGGGUAGCCGGCCUGAGAGGGUGGACGGCCACAUUGGGACUGAGAUACGGCCCAGACUCCUACGGGAGGCAGCAGUGGGGAAUAUUGCACAAUGGGCGCAAGCCUGAUGCAGCGACGCCGCGUGGGGGAUGACGGCCUUCGGGUUGUAAACUCCUUUCGCUUGGGACGAAGCUUUUUGUGACGGUACCUAGAGAAGAAGCACCGGCUAACUACGUG
rnacentral:rRNA from 1 species